rnacentral:lncRNA from 1 species
ACUUGGACAGAUGGAGCUCACUGUGUUUGGAGUCCUAUCAUGGUUUCUGGAGAUUUCAAGAUUGUUCAUUGAUACGUAUGCCAGGAUUUUAUUUUUCCUCGUAUUCAUGUCUUUCUUUUUGAUACCCUAUCACCUCAUCGAUCUAUCGCCGAUCAAGUCAGUAUGACCGGACUAAUCAUAUAUAUGUGUGUAAUCAAGUAGGAGCCUUCUUUUAUGAUGGUCAAGAGUGUAUACGAUCACAGGGGCAUUUGAACUUCUAAGAUAACAAAUUCGCGACCCCAAAGAGCCGAUGUAUGCAUGAACAAGUGGCAAUGAAGAUGAAAGAACUCCUCGAGAGUGGGUGGUCACUUCUUAUUGCCAGCUGCAGCAAGGGGUCAGGUGUCCACAUUCCGCACUAAAUUUUGCGACAUAAGAGAACCAACAGAGUUGCAUCACAGAGAUCGCAAAACUGUUCCCAACCUAUGUUCUGGCUGACCCUGAAAUGCCAGGUUAGCCAACAGAUUUUAGCACCAUAGAUACUAGAUGGAUAUCAAUCACAAAGCCAAACAAAGAGAAAAAUCAGAUGUCACCUUCCAAUCUUUAGUGAGUCCAAAUGGUAACUACUCGACCUGGUUGAAAAAUAGGAAGCCUCUCACUGGACAUCUAUUUGAAUCUAUGGAUACACCUAGCUAAUUUUCUCGCAUAAGCUUUGGUAACAGUCUAGGUACUAGUCAUGAGUUGUACUCUUACUUCUUGGCAUACAUUGUCCAGCCAUGUUCAAAGCAGGUGUACCAUGUCAUUUUCGAGCAUGUUCAAACUCAUAGUACCUUGGUACGAA